rnacentral:lncRNA from 1 species
GAGAAGGCAGAGGCUGACAAAGUCCACCAUGAUCUGGCAAGCCCAGUGACCUAAGAAUCUGGUUCUGCUCCUCGUGGAUGAGAAGGCACAGCUGGCGCCCCUCGGCCUGAGCCCCCGUGAACAUCAGCCUCAUCAGGCCAGGCACUGGUGACCUUGUGUUUAUCUCUGAGAGCCUUCAAUGUGCAGAACCUGCGGCCCUGCUCACCUGUCAGCGUAGGAAAAUGGGUUAAGUUACCAAGUCAAGAGAGGCCUCCUCUGCCUUCUAGCCCAGUGACUUUCCGGGAAGACCUCAAUGUAUUCCUUUGUGCCCCCAAGCAUGAAGAUUUGGGACUGAGAAACACAGUGAUGGCAGAAUCUCUGAUGAGGGCCGAGGCCCCGAGGCUGGGUGACUGUCCUCAGUCAGGGAGUGACCUUGCAACCUUGGGGUGACCAGUUCCUGGGGUGAUGAGGCCUGGACAUCCUCCCCCAAUAGACGUUGGCCCUGGGGUCCCCCCCAGCCUCGGAUUGGGUUUGGUUGGGAGAAAGGAAUGGUAAUAUCUUCCAGAUGUCAAAAAGAUGACGUUACUUCUGCGAUUUAAUUGCUGGUAAUAAUGAACGGUUGAGAGAGGCAAAGAGUAAUUAAAGAUUCUGAGUGAAGCCGAAGUUCAGGUUGAGUGAGUUAAUGGCAUUGGCAGUGCCGAGGACAGGGAACUUCAGAGCCUCAACCACCUCCUCUUUGUGAAAAGAAUAGGGUUACGGUGGAUUUUAUAAACCAAAAAUACGGCCUGAUGUAGGAAUCAAAAACAUGUUUUUAGAAAAACACCACUUUUGACUAAGGAAUUUAUUUUUUAUAAGGCUUAACAAAGAAAUAAAAAAUAAAUUUAUGUACUUAUACA